GGCCCUGUAAGCAAAUUGGUAAAGCUGCUUAUAUGUUCUAGGUUCAUAAGUGUGUGAAGGUUCGAGUCCUUCCAUGGCCA
rnacentral:tRNA from 1 species